UACGGAGGGAGCUAGCGUUGUUCGGAAUUACUGGGCGUAAAGCGCACGUAGGCGGCUUUGUAAGUUAGAGGUGAAAGCCCGGGGCUCAACUCCGGAACUGCCUUUAAGACUGCAUCGCUUGAAUCAUGGAGAGGUCAGUGGAAUUCCGAGUGUAGAGGUGAAAUUCGUAGAUAUUCGGAAGAACACCAGUGGCGAAGGCGGCUGACUGGACAUGUAUUGACGCUGAGGUGCGAAAGCGUGGGGAGCAAACAGG
rnacentral:rRNA from 1 species